AUUCGCCCUUAGAGUUUGAUCCUGGCUCAGGAUGAACGCUGGCGGCGUGCUUAACACAUGCAAGUCGAACGAAGCGCGCGGAAGGAAGGCCUUCGGGCCGGAGAGCCGCGGGACUGAGUGGCGGACGGGUGAGUAACGCGUGGGCAACCUGCCCCGUACAGGGGGAUAACAGCCGGAAACGGCUGCUAAUACCGCAUAAGCGCACAGCGCCGCAUGGCGCGGUGUGAAAAGCUCCGGCGGUACGGGAGGGGCCCGCGUCUGAUUAGGCAGUUGGCGGGGCAGCGGCCCACCAAACCGACGAUCAGUAGCCGGCCUGAGAGGGCGGCCGGCCACAUUGGGACUGAGACACGGCCCAAACUCCUGCGGGAGGCAGCAGUGGGGAAUAUUGCACAAUGGGGGAAACCCUGAUGCAGCGACGCCGCGUGGGUGAAGGAGCGUUUCGGCGCGUAAAGCCCUAUCGGCAGGGAAGAAGGAGGACGGUACCUGACUAAGAAGCCCCGGCUAACUACGUGCCAGCAGCCGCGGUAAUACGUAGGGGGCAAGCGUUAUCCGGAUUUACUGGGUGUAAAGGGGGCGCAGACGGCAGCGCAAGCCAGGAGUGAAAGCCCGGGGCCCAACCCCGGGACUGCUCUUGGAACUGCGCGGCUGGAGUGCAGGAGGGGCAGGCGGAUUUCC
rnacentral:rRNA from 1 species